GGGGCUGUGCCCUCUUUGGGUUGUGUUCCUCUUUGUGUUCCUCUCCUAGAACCAGAGCCUUCUUCCGCAAACGCCUUUGCUGGGAUGUUUCUUCUAAGGGGUUGACCUUGGGGUUGGCCUUGAAGUGGGCAUCUUGUUUGAUCAUGCGUGAGACGUUUGCAAAGAAAACAGAUUUUUGAUAAGUCUCUUAUAUUCCAGCUCGGUUGAAAUCACUUCCCCAAACUUGAAUCUUGCUAUCCUCCUGAACUGGAGGGGUUCAUCAGAGUUUAUCCAAACGAGCGAUCGAACAUAUUCCACUGACUAUGAGUUUUUUGCGUGUAACUCUACUGUCUCCACCUUUCCCAGGGGCCCAACCAGACUUUCAACCGCUUGCUUCUUAAGGAGGUGAAUAGACAGACCUCUGAUUCUUAUCCAGAACGGGAUCUUGCGGAGGAAAUCAUUUUCAAAAGACAGAACUUUGAAGGUGAAAACGAGAGAUUUGAAGCCACAAAGGCCUAAUGAGAAAACCAAAUCGGAUAGAUCUGAGAACUACUAUCGACGGGUCGAAUGAGAUUUGGGGAAAAGGAGAGCUAUUGAAGCUUAAAGGGAGCAGCUUGGCUUCUUCUUGCCUUUGCUGAAUGAUUUCUAGGGUCUGCAGCUUUUAGAUUUGAAGAGGUGAAGCAGAUCUGGGUAUUUUGGUUGAGAACCCUAGCCAUCGUUCGAGAGCCAUUUUCUUCUUGAUGUCUAUGAUAAUUUAAUUGUAAUUAUUUUGAUGUAAAACUAAUAUACACUACUAUUUUAGUUUUGUCCGCCAAAACUAAAGAAAAAAAAUAUAUAUAUAUUUUACUACCAAAACACUUCUCAGAUUCGCUGAGAUGACUUUGUAUUGUUUCUCAGAAAAGUAAACCGGAGUCUCCACCUCUCUCUCGCGAAUUCAUUCUCUUCGUCUCCAUCUCUUCUCCGUCGUGCUUGCCAGUCAGUUUCUUCAUGGCAGGUGACAAACAGAGAUGGCGGAGCAGUGCCAGUGGCAAGGUGGCUCAUCUGCAGAGGACGAGAAGAGGCUUCGAUGGAUGACGAAUCAGAUCUACUCCAUAUGCUGGCUCAUCUGCCGCUCCGGCAACGCCGCUGCAUCUCCGGAUUCGUCACUGUGUCUCCGAACUAUCCAUCUCAGGUGAUGGUUUACUUGACAUCUGAUUCGAACUGCUUCACCCUUUUGUUUCUUGCCUUUGACUCAGUUAAUUGAUUUCGAUUGCAGAUGAUUCGAUUGUAAUGUAUACGCUUCUUGGGUUAGGUUCUGUCUCUGUGAAUUUUGUUUCUAACUCACAUUUAGAUUAUUGAAAUUGAGGUUUAAAUGAAAUUAAGGUUCAGACCUGGAACCCUUGCUUUAAUUUCAUUUUGAAUGGUGCUUGAUUUGUGGUUUGACGAGUUAUUAGAUAAGAAGAUGAAUGCUUUACUACAAGAGGAAGACUAAACAAGUUGAAGACUUUAGCAAUUGUGAGCAAAUGAUAUAGGUCCUGUGGCUGAGGUAUGAUGAUGACGUGUUGUGUGUUAGAGCUUCGGCCUUUCAUUUUUUGGUUCAUCGUUUUAGGAGACUCGAGGGCAACGAGCUUGAACUCUCUGUGUGAAAGCAAUACUGAAUAUUGAGACAAGUAGCCAAAAUUGUAAAGACAGUCAAUUUAUAUUACUUGUUCUUUUAUCUCUA